GAUCAUGGCUCAGGAUGAACGCUAGCUACAGGCUUAACACAUGCAAGUCGAGGGGAAACGACAUCGAAAGCUUGCUUUUGAUGGGCGUCGACCGGCGCACGGGUGAGUAACGCGUAUCCAACCUGCCCACCACUUGGGGAUAACCUUGCGAAAGUAAGACUAAUACCCAAUGAUAUCCCACGAAGGCAUCCGAAUGGGAUUAAAGAUUUAUCGGUGAUGGAUGGGGAUGCGUCUGAUUAGCUUGUUGGCGGGGUAACGGCCCACCAAGGCAACGAUCAGUAGGGGUUCUGAGAGGAAGGUCCCCCACAUUGGAACUGAGACACGGUCCAAACUCCUACGGGAGGCAGCAGUGAGGAAUAUUGGUCAAUGGGCGAGAGCCUGAACCAGCCAAGUAGCGUGCAGGAUGACGGCCCUAUGGGUUGUAAACUGCUUUUAUAAGGGAAUAAAGUGGGUCACGUGUGACUUUUUGCAUGUACCUUAUGAAUAAGGACCGGCUAAUUCCGUC
rnacentral:rRNA from 1 species